rfam:Haemonchus placei strain MHpl1 genome assembly, scaffold: HPLM_scaffold0002267
GGCCCAAUCUCAAAGUAAAGUAGUUUUGUGUGGUCAGCUGAUCCUACUAAUUUACUCUACUUCGAGGUUGUGCCG